rnacentral:tRNA from 1 species
GGAGGUAUAGCUCAGUUGGUUAGAGCGCUCGCCUCACAUGCGAGAGGUCAUAGGUUCGAAUCCUAUUAUCUCCACCA